rnacentral:rRNA from 1 species
UACGAAGGGGGCUAGCGUUGCUCGGAAUCACUGGGCGUAAAGGGUGCGUAGGCGGGUCUUUAAGUCCGGGGGGAAAUCCUGGAGCUCAACUCCAGAACUGCCUUUGAUACUGAGGAUCUUGAGUUCGGGAGAGGUGAGUGGAACUGCGAGUGUAGAGGUGAAAUUCGUAGAUAUUCGCAAGAACACCAGUGGCGAAGGCGGCUCACUGGCCCGAUACUGACGCUGAGGCACGAAAGCGUGGGGAGCAAACAGG